rnacentral:rRNA from 1 species
GGAGGGUGCAAGCGUUAAUCGGAAUUACUGGGCGUAAAGCGCGCGUAGGCGGUUUAGUCAGUCGGAUGUGAAAGCCCAGGGCUCAACCUUGGAAUUGCAUUCGAUACUGCUUGACUAGAGUAUGGUAGAGGGAAGUGGAAUUUCCGGUGUAGCGGUGAAAUGCGUAGAUAUCGGAAGGAACACCAGUGGCGAAGGCGACUUCCUGGGCCAAUACUGACGCUGAGGUGCGAAAGCGUGGGGAGCAAACAGGGAUUAGAUACCCUGGUAGUCCACGCCGUAAACGAUGAGAACUAGAUGUUGGGAGGGUUACCUCUCGGUGUCGCAGCUAACGCAUUAAGUUCUCCGCCUGGGGAGUACGCCGGCAACGGUA